rnacentral:rRNA from 1 species
CUGGCUCAGGAUGAACGCUAGCUACAGGCUUAACACAUGCAAGUCGAGGGGCAUCAUGAUUCUAGCUUGCUAGAAUGAUGGCGACCGGCGCACGGGUGAGUAACGCGUAUCCAACCUUCCCUAUAGUAGAGGAUAGCCCGGCGAAAGUCGGAUUAAUACUCUAUGUUGUUCAAUGCGGACAUCUAAGUUGAACCAAAGGUUUACCGCUAUAGGAUGGGGAUGCGUCUGAUUAGAUGGUAGGCGGGGUAACGGCCCACCUAGUCGACGAUCAGUAGGGGUUCUGAGAGGAAGGUCCCCCACAUUGGAACUGAGACACGGUCCAAACUCCUACGGGAGGCAGCAGUGAGGAAUAUUGGUCAAUGGGCGAGAGCCUGAACCAGCCAAGUAGCGUGCCAGGAUGACGGCCCUAUGGGUUGUAAACUGCUUUUAUAUAGGGAUAAAGUGCACUACGUGUAGUGUUUUGUAGGUACUAUAUGAAUAGGGACCGGCUAAUUCCGUGCCAGCCGCCGC